CUGCUGGUAAAGGUCAUUACGUAUUACUUUACUUACCGGAGGAAAAGAAACCAACAGGGAUUGCCCUAGUAACGGCGAGUGAAGCGGCAACAGCUCAAAUUUGAAAUCUGGCCCUCGGGUCCGAGUUGUAAUUUGUAGAGGAUGCUUUGGGUGCGGUGCCUUCCGAGUUCCCUGGAACGGGACGCCAUAGAGGGUGAGAGCCCCGUCUGGUUGGACACCAAGCCUCUGUAAAGCUCCUUCGACGAGUCGAGUAGUUUGGGAAUGCUGCUCUAAAUGGGAGGUAUAUGUCUUCUAAAGCUAAAUACCGGCCAGAGACCGAUAGCGCACAAGUAGAGUGAUCGAAAGAUGAAAAGCACUUUGAAAAGAGGGUUAAAUAGUACGUGAAAUUGUUGAAAGGGAAGCGCUUGUGACCAGACUUGAGCCCGGUUAAUCAUCCAGCCUUCUGGCUGGUGCACUUGGCCGGCUCAGGCCAGCAUCAGUUCGGCGUGGGGGAUAAAGACUUCGGGAAUGUGGCUCCUUCGGGAGUGUUAUAGCCCGUUGUGUAAUACCCUGUACUGGACUGAGGUUCGCGCAUCUGCAAGGAUGCUGGCGUAAUGGUCAUCAGCGACCCGUCUUGAAACACGGACCAAGGAGUCGUCCUCGUAUGCGAGUGUUCGGGUGUCAAACCCCUACGCGUAAUGAAAGUGAACGCAGGUGAGAGCUUCGGCGCAUCAUCGACCGAUCCUGAUGUUCUCGGACGGAUUUGAGUAAGAGCAUACGGGGCCGGACCCGAAAGAAGGUGAACUAUGCCUGUAUAGGGUGAAGCCAGAGGAAACUCUGGUGGAGGCUCGCAGCGGUUCUGACGUGCAAAUCGAUCGUCAAAUAUGGGCAUGGGGGCGAAAGACUAAUCGAACCUUCUAGUAGCUGGUUUCCGCCGAAGUUUCCCUCAGGAUAGCAGUGUUGAACUCAGUUUUAUGAGGUAAAGCGAAUGAUUAGGGACUCGGGGG
rnacentral:rRNA from 1 species